rnacentral:rRNA from 1 species
UACGAAGGGGGCUAGCGUUGCUCGGAAUUACUGGGCGUAAAGCGCACGUAGGCGGUCUUUUAAGUCGGGGGUGAAAUCCUGGAGCUCAACUCCAGAACUGCCUUCGAUACUGGAAGACUCGAGUCCGGGAGAGGUGAGUGGAACUGCGAGUGUAGAGGUGAAAUUCGUAGAUAUUCGCAAGAACACCAGUGGCGAAGGCGGCUCACUGGCCCGGUACUGACGCUGAGGUGCGAGAGCGUGGGGAGCAAACAGG